rnacentral:rRNA from 1 species
UAAUACGUAGGGACCAAGCGUUGUUCGGAUUUACUGGGCGUAAAGGGCGCGUAGGCGGCAAUUCAAGUCAUCUGUGAAAUCUCCGGGCUUAACUCGGAACGGUCAGGUGAUACUGCUUUGCUAGAGUGCGGAAGGGGCAAUCGGAAUUCUUGGUGUAGCGGUGAAAUGCGUAGAUAUCAAGAGGAACACCUGAGGUGAAGACGGGUUGCUGGGCCGACACUGACGCUGACAGCGCGAAAGCCAGGGGAGCAAACGGGAUUAGAUACCCCGGUAGUCCUGGCCC